rnacentral:misc_RNA from 1 species
GAUGAAGAACGCAUCGAAAUGCGAUACGUAAUGUGAAUUGCAGAAUUCAGUGAAUCAUCGAGUCUUUGAACGCACAUUGCGCCCCCUGGUAUUCCGGGGGGCAUGCCUGUCCGAGCGUCAUUGCUGCCCUCAAGCACGGCUUGUGUGUUGGGCCUCCGUCCUCCUCCCGGGGGACGGGCCCGAAAGGCAGCGGCGGCACCGCGUCCGGUCCUCGAGCGUAUGGGGCUUCGUCACCCGCUCUUGUAGGCCCGGCCGGCGCUUGCCGACACAUCAAUCUUUUUUCCAGGUUGACCUCGGAUCAGGUAGGGAUACCCGCUGAACUUAAGCAUAUCAAUAAGCGGAGGA